rnacentral:miRNA from 1 species
UGUUCGAUCGUUACUGUCAUAU